rnacentral:rRNA from 1 species
CCUACGGGGUGCAGCAGUGAGGAAUAUUGGUCAAUGGUCGGGAGACUGAACCAGCCAAGCCGCGUGAGGGAGGAAGGUACAGAGUAUCGUAAACCUCUUUUGUCAGGGAACAAAGGCGGGGACGUGUCCCCGGCUGAGUGUACCUGAAGAAAAAGCAUCGGCUAACUCCGUGCCAGCAGCCGCGGUAAUACGGAGGAUGCGAGCGUUAUCCGGAUUGAUUGGGUUAAAAGGGUGCGCAGGCGGUCUGUUAAGUCAGCGGUAAAAGCCCGGGGCUCAACCCCGGCCCGCCGUUGAAACUGGCAGUCGCGAGUUGGAGAGAAGUAUGCGGAAUGCGCGGUGUAGCGGUGAAAUGCAUAGAUAUCGCGCAGAACUCCGAUUGCGAAGGCAGCAUGCCGGCUCCACACUGACGCUGAGGCACGAAAGCGUGGGUAUCGAACAGGAUUAGAUACCCUUGUAGUC